AGUCGGCUACGAGGACGAACGCUGGCGGUGUGCUUCACACAUGCAAGUCGAACGAGGUAGCAAUACCUAGUGGCGGACGGGUGAGUAACGCGUGGGAAUCUGCCUUAAGAGUGGGGGAUAACGGGCCGAAAGGCUCGCUAAUACCGCAUAUGCCGAAAGGUGAAAGGAGUAAUCCGUCUUAAGAUGAGCCCGCGUCCGAUUAGCUAGUUGGUAGGGUAAAGGCCUACCAAGGCGACGAUCGGUAGCUGGUCUGAGAGGAUGAUCAGCCACAAUGGGACUGAGACACGGCCCAUACUCCUACGGGAGGCAGCAGUGGGGAAUUUUACGCAAUGGGGGAAACCCUGACGUAGCGACACCGCGUGAGCGAAGAAGCCCCUUGGGGUGUAAAGCUCUGUCAGCUGGAACGAAAAAAAUGACGGUACCAGCAGAGGAAGCAUCGGCUAACUACGUG
rnacentral:rRNA from 1 species